CCGGCUUACCAACCCGAUGCAAACUGCGAAUACCGGAGAAUGUUAUCACGGGAGACACACGGCGGGUGCUAACGUCCGUCGUGAAGAGGGAAACAACCCAGACCGCCAGCUAAGGUCCCAAAGUCAUGGUUAAGUGGGAAACGAUGUGGGAAGGCCCAGACAGCCAGGAUGUUGGCUUAGAAGCAGCCAUCAUUUAAAGAAAGCGUAAUAGCUCACUGGUCGAGUCGGCCUGCGCGGAAGAUGUAACGGGGCUAAACCAUGCACCGAAGCUGCGGCAGCGACACUGUGUGUUGUUGGGUAGGGGAGCGUUCUGUAAGCCUGUGAAGGUGUGUCGUGAGGCAUGCUGGAGGUAUCAGAAGUGCGAAUG
rnacentral:rRNA from 1 species